CCGGCUGUCCCCACUCGCUGUAGCUGCCAGUCUCCCCUGCUCUGUGGGUGCCGGGAGUUCGCUCGCUGUGUGACCCUCAGCAAGUGUGCGCACCUCUCUGAGCCUCAGCGGCCUGUAGCAAAAUGGAGGAGCUCGUACUGGUUGUGAGACAAACUAGGAGCGGCGCAGGGUAGCGCUUGAGAGAGAAGACUGCAGUUCUCGCUCUGCCACUGGAUAACUUUGGGAAACUAACUGUAAUGAUAAUACCACCUCAUAGGUUUGUUAUGAAGAUUAAGUGAGUUAAUAUUUGUAAAAUGUUUAGAACAGCGUCUGUUACGUGGCAAGCGUCCUUGGCAGCCAGGCGAAAAGGAUUUGCUGAGUCAGCUGCCGCUGAUGCAAAUGGGGCUGCCAGGGGCUGGUACGGGAGAGCCCCUGAUCCGCGGGAUGUUCUGCAACCCCGAUCCUCCCAGGUCAUUCCUUGGGUGCUUCCCACACCCUGUGUGGAGUUCAAGACCAGGUUUAUUCAUGUGCCCAUUGCACAGGUGAGGAGACUGAGGCACGCCAAGGUUAACGCCACUUAUUUGAGGUCACACCAAAGGAGGAAUUGGGUAGCAAAUGGAAGGUGUGAGACCUGGACCUCUUAACCUCCAGAUACCACCAUGCAGCAAUUUGGAGCCAAAAGAAAGCACAGAGCUCACCUCCUGAGUGAGCGGCCACGGCCCAGUCAGCAUCCGGCUGUGCCCACUUCCCCCACCCCCAGCCCCACCUGGAUGCCACCUGGCAGUCACAUGUACAUUCAUCACGGAGGAGCCGGCUGACUCACCGAAUUAUACUGGAGAUGACUCACAUUUUAGAAAAUGGAAAGUGAGAACUUGAAAGCCUGGAGAAGCCCUCCCUUCUUUACUGAGGCUUGGAAUCAAUGCCCCAAACCCAUGACAGUUUAGCUCUUAAGAAAGGGAAAGCACUGUGGGCUGUCUGGAGGCUAAUAUUCCUGGAUUCAGAGGGCAGUGGUUCAACUCCACUCUGGGUCAUUACAGGUUUGCUGGGUGACUUCAGGCAAGUCACUGUCCCUUUCUGAGCCUCAGUCUCUUCGGUUUCUUAAUGAAGAGAUUGCAACAGGUGACAUCCAAGGCCCUUCUAGCUCUGGGUUGAGAAGCCUUGUCAUAAUAAGUGCUAGACCUUUAUCCUGCUAGACUUCAGUUUCCUCAGUUAAAAAAAUGUGAUAAAAUAUACAUACCAUGAAAUUUACCAUUUUAACCAUUUUUAAGUGUAUAGUAGAUCAGUGGCAUUAAGUACAUUCACGUUUGUGCAUCCAUCACCACCAUCCAUUUCUGGAACUUUUUCAUCUUUCCAAACUGGAAGUCCUUACCCAUCAAGCAAUAACUCUCCACUCCCCCUCUCCCCAGCCCCUGGCAACCACCAUUCUACUUCUUGUCACUGAAAGAAAGUAGAAUGGAUUUGACUACUCUAGGUACCCCAUGUAAACUUCCCUCAUCCUUAAAACUGUGAUGAUGACAAUGACAACAAAACUGUGAUGACAGAGGCCAAGGGUUAUUAGGUCCUUCUCCCAGUGGGCAGUUGGCUCAGACUUGGAUUUAAGUUUCAGUUCUUCCUCUGUACCCUCAGGCAGGUUGCGUAACCUUUCUGCCCCUCUCACUGCCACAUCCCUGAGAUUGGCCUAAUGAGGCCAGCCUUGCAGAGCUGUUGCCAGGCUCAGGAGACAGUGUGUAGGGAGGUGUUUGGAAAGUCCAGUGCUCCUUCUAGGGCUUGUUAUAUAUGCCCUCUUCCUGGAAUGUUGGGACCGGGACCCUGGCUUAGGUUUGUAGGUGUGAGAGCUGGAAAGACAUUAGAAUUGUGCUUGUCAACCCAUUUCCAGGUGAGAAGACUGAGGCCUAGAGAGGUGGAUGUGACUUGCCUAAAGUCACAUAUGGAACUUUAAACAUUGUGUGCAUCCAUGCCUCUUGCACAGUGUCCUGCAUGUGGCAGGUGCCCAACAGAUGUUUGCUGCUGGCUGGAAGGUGGGGGCCAUGGCAUCGAGGGAGGGCCCUGACCAGCUGGGCUCUGGAGCCCUCCCCUCAAGCAGCUGGCAUUCCAGCCUGUGUACCCAGUAUUGGAAAGUGGCUUAUGGAAGGUGCUGGGGCACUAGUCUUCUAUCUUAGGUGUUCUUUUUAUUGGUUCCCAGAGGCCUGGCAUUGUGGCUGAGAGUCCCAUCUCUCUUAUUUCCUUAGAGUAAUGAUUCCUAGGAAUUUUCUGGUUGCCAGUGUCAAUAUAUUUAAACCAAUUUCAGCCAAUAAAGGAGACUUUAUUAAAGGCUACAGGGGCAUCCCGCAAACAGUGGCAGGGUGCAGUCAGAUGCUGACUAAGCUUGGAACUUGGAUGGUAGACUGCACGUUCUGUUCCACAUGGUAGACUGUAACCACUGCACAAUGCCAGAAUUUACCUGGGACCACUUCAAGGCUGACUUGACUCUCUCCUGGUCUUGAUUCCAAGUUUCUAGACGAGAGAAGCGGAUCGGCCCAGUAUGGGUGAGAUGUUCGUCCUGGGUCCUAUUGGCUGUGGUUAGGCAGUGGGGUCACAGAGAACAAACAAGGCUGGCGGGGCUCACGUCUGUGUGAGGGUGGGGCGGAGGAAGGGAGUCCACCAGGGAGUCACACAGGCAAACACAUGCAUCCGUUAAAAAUGUGGAACAGAUAUGUAUGUUUAUUAACAUGGAAAGAAAGUCAAGAUAUUUUUGAAUGGAAAAAAUAGGUUACAAAAUAGUAUGUUUAUCACAUUUUUAAAAAGUAAAUAUGCAUAUGUAAUAUAAUUGAAUUUCCAUACAUAGGUGCUAAAUGUUAAUUGAAAUUAGAGGUAGUAGAAUUAGGGGUAAUUUUUCAUUUCUUCUUUUGUAAUACCUGCAUUUUUCUGAUUUUUCUCUAAUGAAUGAGUGUCA